CUUGAACUCCUGGGUUCAAGUGAUCCUCCCACCUCGGGCUUCCAAACUGCUGAGAUUAUAGGCAUGAGCCACUGUGCCCGGCCUGAGAAGAGAGGAAUGUACCCAAUUUGUACAGAUGAUGAAUUAGAGCGGUUGUUAUCGAAUCUGCCACCAGAGGGCGAUCCAGGCUGAAGAUCUCUCUCUCUGCGGAAGCCAGCCACCGCUCUCCAAGGACUCUCGAGCAGCUCCAUCUACAGAUUCACAUGGAGAAGAAUUAAGGGUUCCUGCCAAUCACCAGCACCACUUUGCCAGCCUUGUAAGUGGGCCACCUUGGAAUUGGAGCCUCCAGUUCCUACUGACAUCUGACUGCAACAUCAUGAGAGACCCUGAGUUUGAACCACCCAGCUGAGCUGCUUCUGAGCUAACCCACUGAAACCGUUCCUUAGAUCCUGGGAUGAGGAGGUGGACCAGCAGAAGGUGGGCUUGUGAAGGCAGCCCGGGGUCCAAAUCCUCCUGGCUCUUCAGCUUAGCGGGUUAGUUAACAUUCAGAAGCCUUCAUCUCCCAUCUGCAAAAUGGGCAUGUCCAACUCAGAAGCUGCCUUGAAGAAAGGGUCUACCCAGCAUGGUGCGUGGAGCCUAAGCAGUCAGUACUUCAGGACUUCACCCGGCCCCUUUCCAAUAACUGCUGCUGUCGCCCUCACAGGAUGUCACCUUCAGCGUCUGAAAGCUGGGUUUGAUGCGUCUGGAAAGGCGUCCCUGACAGGCGUCGUUGCCAGGAGCCCCUAGUGCCACCAGCAGCCAGCAGGGGAGGGCGUCCUCUGCCCGCUCACUUCUGACCCUUCUCUCGUUGCACCCGGAACAUGGUGCAGCUGGGAGCAGCCUGGGCUGCGCGGAAGGCUCAGAUUUGGGGACGGCCCUUGCCAGUGACUGUGAGCUGGGGUGUCUUGGAAACUCCCAGUCUCAGCUUCUCCAUUUAUAAGAUGAGAAUGAUCAUACCAGACUCAGGCAAGGUUGUUUGUGCAUUAGUGAAAUCAGACGUAUUAAAUAAAGUACCACAUUGAUCGUGGAGUUGUUGAAUAACCAAGAACACGCCUAUCUGUCUCCAAAAAAUAAAUGUUGAAAAUGAUGAGGGCGUGGCUCUACGUUGGGAAGGGAAAUAGGGUGCUUGGAUGAGAGAAUCCUGAGGCAUGGGACAGUGGAGGGAUCCAGGAUAGUUCCAUAAGAAAAUGUGCUUGCACUAUCGUUUCUUUG
rnacentral:lncRNA from 1 species